rnacentral:rRNA from 1 species
ACUGUGCAAUUUUGAGAGAACAAAAUUCUCUUAAAAUAAUAUCUGGUGGUUAUAGCUUGAAGGUAACACCCGUUCCCAUUCCGAACACGAAGGUUAAGCUUCAAAGCGCCGAUGGUACUGCACUGGAGACGGUGUGGAAGAGUAGGUCGCUGCCAGGU